AUGGCUCAGUGGUUAAGAGCACUGGUUGCUCUUCCAGAGGACCCAGGUUCAAUUCCUGGU
rnacentral:tRNA from 1 species